rnacentral:tRNA from 3 species
GCGCCCUUAGCUCAGCUGGAUAGAGCAACGGCCUUCUAAGCCGUAGGUCAAACGUUCGAAUCGUUUAGGGCGCACCA